AGCUCCAAUAGCGUAUACUAAAGUUGUUGCAGUUAAAAAGCUCGUAGUUGAAUUUCUGGUCGUGGCGAUCGGUCCGUCCCUCACGGGAUGUGCACCUGGUCUCUGCGUCCAUCCUCGGGGAGAGCACGUCUGGCAUUCAGUUGUCGGGCGUGGGAUCCUCGUCAUUUACUGUGAGCAAAAUAGAGUGUUCAAAGCAGGCUUAGGCCGUUGAAUACAUUAGCAUGGAAUAAUAAGAUAGGACCUUGGUCUAUUUUGUUGGUUUGCAUUCCAAGGUAAUGAUUAAUAGGGAUAGUUGGGGGUAUUCGUAUUCAAUUGUCAGAGGUGAAAUUCUUGGAUUUAUGGAAGACGAACUACUGCGAAAGCAUUUACCAAGGAUGUUU
rnacentral:rRNA from 1 species